rnacentral:rRNA from 1 species
UACGUAGGGUGCGAGCGUUGUCCGGAAUUACUGGGCGUAAAGAGCUCGUAGGUGGUUUGUCGCGUUGUUCGUGAAAUCUCACGGCUUAACUGUGAGCGUGCGGGCGAUACGGGCAGACUAGAGUACUGCAGGGGGAGACUGGAAUUCCUGGUGUAGCGGUGGAAUGCGCAGAUAUCAGGAGGAACACCGGUGGCGAAGGCGGGGUCUUUUGGGCAGUAACUGACGCUGAGGAGCGAAAGCCAGGGGAGCAAACGGG